UACGAAGGGGGCAAGCGUUGUUCGGAUUUACUGGGCGUAAAGCGUACGUAGGCGGAUGAUUAAGUCAGUGGUGAAAGCCCGGAGCUCAACUCCGGAACUGCCAUUGAAACUGUUUAGCUUGAGGAUGAGAGAGGUGAGUGGAAUUCCCAGUGUAGAGGUGAAAUUCGUAGAUAUUGGGAAGAACACCGGUGGCGAAGGCGGCUCACUGGCUCGUAUCUGACGCUCAGGCGCGACAGCGUGGGGAUCAAACAGG
rnacentral:rRNA from 1 species